rnacentral:lncRNA from 1 species
UAAGGAUGAACCCAAUCUGGACCUCGUAUCAACUCAGCAUGUUAAGAUCUCUACUGACACAGAUGUAUCACUAUCUGAUGAGGAAGCAGUACACCGACCUACAAGAGACAAAUCUUUUAUGACAUCUGCAACAGAAGAUAAAACAACGGACCUCUACCCCCUUUGUAAGAAAAUAGGUUUAGACCUUGACGUGAAAUCAAAAGGUGAUGCUAAUGUAUGUUUCCAGCAGCAGUGUCCCUAAUGCUGCAGGGUCUCAUCGUUCCUUCUCUAUGUUGGACUGAACUGUUUCAUCUCUUCACAAGUGAAUUCCUCAAAGCCAUAAAGUGGGGGAGAAGGAGACCAUCUACAGUAUGACAGGAGCAAAGGUGUUCACCCAGAGAAGGAGACCAUCUACAGUAUGACAGGAGCAGAGGUGUUCACCCAGAGAAGGAGACCGUCUACAGUAUGACAGGAGCAGAGGUGUUCACCCAGAGAAGGAGACCGUCUACAGUAUGACAGGAGCAGAGGUGUUCACUUGAGGAGUCUUCUCGGUCAAGAUAAGAUUUCCUGCUUGCCAUACUAGAGGGAGAUACUGGUUAUCUUUCAACUCCACACCAUGGGAUGAUUGACCUGGAUCUUAACCAGAACAGACUUCACCAGACACAGUAGAAGUGAGGUCACAGGAAACAGACUGAUUUGUGAAGAGGGACUACAUCACCCAGAAAGCAUUGUGUCCCUGGAGGCCAGAGCUUUGUUGGAUGUAAUGCCUUGUUCUCAACCUCUGAGUGUUCGGAAAUAAGACUUGUAAACUCGGUGCAUUCACGUACCUUGAACCAAGGUCAACCAUAAACUAACAGUACAGCUAUCAUGCUGGUAUGAAACGGCAGUUGAAAAUAGGUUUUCUAGAUCAGUCCAAACAUUCCUCCUGACUGUUAUAAUCAACAUGUUUGAAUGCUAAAAUGAUAUGGGACAUUUUUCUAUUGCAACGCUUGAAUCACGUUCAUAUUUUUGGUUAUAACCCGCACAACUUUUCAGCUCUUGGUUGUUUGCUUUUAAAAAUAGUUUUUAGUACUAACUUUUGUUUGUUUACAUUAAACUACUAGUUUUUGUUGUUUCCACUAAGACUGUAAUGUCAUUGUAAUUGGCAACAGUGUGGUGUUUUUGGGGUGAUUUUAACUCACAUCUCUAAAGAUAAACCACUCCAGUUCUUAGUCCAUGAAAAGAGGUUGAUUUAAUAGUUAAUGGUAACUUGAUAUAGCUCCUUGUGGUUUGACAUUCAUAUGGUCCCCCUGCCUGUGUGGGAUCGAAUCCCGGCCUCUGUAUCUCCACUUUAUUCAUAUCUGUCACAAUAAAC